rnacentral:rRNA from 1 species
UACGGAGGGUGCAAGCGUUAUCCGGGUUCACUGGGUUUAAAGGGUGCGUAGGUGGGUUGGUAAGUCAGUGGUGAAAUCCCCGAGCUUAACUUGGGAACUGCCAUUGAUACUAUCAGUCUUGAAUAUUGUGGAGGUUAGCGGAAUAUGUCAUGUAGCGGUGAAAUGCUUAGAUAUGACAUAGAACACCAAUUGCGAAGGCAGCUGGCUACGCAUAUAUUGACACUGAGGCACGAAAGCGUGGGGAUCAAACAGG